rnacentral:rRNA from 1 species
AUUGAACGCUGGCGGCAGGCUUAACACAUGCAAGUCGAGCGGAGCGAGGGUGCUUGCACCUUAGCUUAGCGGCGGACGGAUGAGUAAUGCUUAGGAAUCUGCCUAUUAGUGGGGGACAACAUUCCGAAAGGAAUGCUAAUACCGCAUACGCCCUACGGGGGAAAGCAGGGGAUCUUCGGACCUUGCGCUAAUAGAUGAGCCUAAGUAGGAUUAGCUAGUUGGUGGGGUAAAGGCCUACCAAGGCGACGAUCUGUAGAGGGUCUGAGAGGAUGGACCGCCAGACUGGGAGUGAGCAACGGCCCAGACUCCUACGGGAGGCAGCAGUGGGGAAUAUUGGACAAUGGGCGGAAGCCUGAUCCAGCCAUGCCGCGUGUGUGAAGAAGGCCUUUUGGUUGUAAAGCACUUUAAGCGAGGAGGAGGCUACUAGUACUAAUACUACUGGAUAGUGGACGUUACUCGCAGAAUAAGCACCGGCUAAUUCUGUGCCAGCCGCCGCUGUAAUAC